rnacentral:rRNA from 1 species
GAAACCCGGUGAUCUAGCCAUGGGCAGGUUGAAGGUUGGGUAACACUAACUGGAGGACCGAACCGACUAAUGUUGAAAAAUUAGCGGAUGACUUGUGGCUGGGGGUGAAAGGCCAAUCAAACCGGGAGAUAGCUGGUUCUCCCCGAAAGCUAUUUAGGUAGCGCCUCGUGAAUUCAUCUCCGGGGGUAGAGCACUGUUUCGGCAAGGGGGUCAUCCCGACUUACCAACCCGAUGCAAACUGCGAAUACCGGAGAAUGUUAUCACGGGAGACACACGGCGGGUGCUAACGUCCGUCGUGAAGAGGGAAACAACCCAGACCGCCAGCUAAGGUCCCAAAGUCAUGGUUAAGUGGGAAACGAUGUGGGAAGGCCCAGACAGCCAGGAUGUUGGCUUAGAAGCAGCCAUCAUUUAAAGAAAGCGUAAUAGCUCACUGGUCGAGUCGGCCUGCGCGGAAGAUGUAACGGGGCUAAACCAUGCACCGAAGCUGCGGCAGCGACACUAUGUGUUGUUGGGUAGGGGAGCGUUCUGUAAGCCUGUGAAGGUGGCCUGUGAGGGUUGCUGGAGGUAUCAGAAGUGCGAAUGCUGACAUAAGUAACGAUAAAGCGGGUGAAAAGCCCGCUCGCCGGAAGACCAAGGGUUCCUGUCCAACGUUAAUCGGGGCAGGGUGAGUCGACCCCUAAGGCGAGGCCGAAAGGCGUAGUCGAUGGGAAACAGGUUAAUAUUCCUGUACUUGGUGUUACUGCGAAGGGGGGACGGAGAAGGCUAUGUUGGCCGGGCGACGGUUGUCCCGGUUUAAGCGUGUAGGCUGGUUUUCCAGGCAAAUCCGGAAAACCAAGGCUGAGGCGUGAUGACGAGGCACUACGGUGCUGAAGCGACAAAUGCCCUGCUUCCAGGAAAAGCCUCUAAGCAUCAGGUAACAUCAAAUCGUACCCCAAACCGACACAGGUGGUCAGGUAGAGAAUACCAAGGCGCUUGAGAGAACUCGGGUGAAGGAACUAGGCAAAAUGGUGCCGUAACUUCGGGAGAAGGCACGCUGAUAUGUAGGUGAAGCGACUUGCUCGUGGAGCUGAAAUCAGUCGAAGAUACCAGCUGGCUGCAACUGUUUAUUAAAAACACAGCACUGUGCAAACACGAAAGUGGACGUAUACGGUGUGACGCCUGCCCGGUGCCGGAAGGUUAAUUGAUGGGGUUAGCGGUAACGCGAAGCUCUUGAUCGAAGCCCCGGUAAACGGCGGCCGUAACUAUAACGGUCCUAAGGUAGCGAAAUUCCUUGUCGGGUAAGUUCCGACCUGCACGAAUGGCGUAAUGAUGGCCAGGCUGUCUCCACCCGAGACUCAGUGAAAUUGAACUCGCUGUGAAGAUGCAGUGUACCCGCGGCAAGACGGAAAGACCCCGUGAACCUUUACUAUAGCUUGACACUGAACAUUGAGCCUUGAUGUGUAGGAUAGGUGGGAGGCUUUGAAGUGUGGACGCCAGUCUGCAUGGAGCCGACCUUGAAAUACCACCCUUUAAUGUUUGAUGUUCUAACGUUGGCCCGUAAUCCGGGUUGCGGACAGUGUCUGGUGGGUAGUUUGACUGGGGCGGUCUCCUCCUAAAGAGUAACGGAGGAGCACGAAGGUUGGCUAAUCCUGGUCGGACAUCAGGAGGUUAGUGCAAUGGCAUAAGCCAGCUUGACUGCGAGCGUGACGGCGCGAGCAGGUGCGAAAGCAGGUCAUAGUGAUCCGGUGGUUCUGAAUGGAAGGGCCAUCGCUCAACGGAUAAAAGGUACUCCGGGGAUAACAGGCUGAUACCGCCCAAGAGUUCAUAUCGACGGCGGUGUUUGGCACCUCGAUGUCGGCUCAUCACAUCCUGGGGCUGAAGUAGGUCCCAAGGGUAUGGCUGUUCGCCAUUUAAAGUGGUACGCGAGCUGGGUUUAGAACGUCGUGAGACAGUUCGGUCCCUAUCUGCCGUGGGCGCUGGAGAACUGAGGGGGGCUGCUCCUAGUACGAGAGGACCGGAGUGGACGCAUCACUGGUGUUCGGGUUGUCAUGCCAAUGGCACUGCCCGGUAGCUAAAUGCGGAAGAGAUAAGUGCUGAAAGCAUCUAAGCACGAAACUUGCCCCGAGAUGAGUUCUCCCUGACCCUUUAAGGGUCCUGAAGGAACGUUGAAGACGACGACGUUGAUAGGCCGGGUGUGUAAGCGCAGCGAUGCGUUGAGCUAACCGGUACUAAUGAACCGUGAGGCUUAACCUUACAACGCCGAAG